CUUUUAAAAUGACGAGACUGCUUGGCAGGGGUUCUCAACAUGGACCGUAGAAGACGAAGCAGGCAUUGUGAGCGAGAUAUUGGUAUUUUUUUUUUAAAAAAUCAUCUUAAAUUCAGCUUUUGUGGAGGAUCUGCAGCCCGUCACAGUGGACAGGAAUGCUCUUUGCUGAUUUGGCUGACUGAAUCUUGCCUUCGGUUCAGACAGCAGAGGCGGAAAAACACCAGAAACAAAAAUGGCAACCCUCCAGGAAACCUCAUCUCUGCACCUGUAGGUCUUGGUCUUGACUUGGCCAUUGCUUCUUCUGGGUUCGGUAGAUCUUGAAAACGUCCAGUAUGGUGCUACAUGAACGGAUAAGUUGAAAACAGCUAGCCUAAGAGAACAAAACUUUGCUUCCUUUGCAAAAUGCAAUAAUAGUGAGAUGGAUUGAGGUGGUUUGAAAAAGAAAAAUCCCUGAAAAUAGUGAGUAAUGCCAGUGAAGUAAACUUUUCAUUUAGAAGGUAGAAGAAGUUCUUGUAAAUGUUCCACAGUCAAAGCAAAAGUAACUCAAAAAGAAAAAAAAAAACCUCUGAAAAGAAAAAAGUGAAGGUUUGUGAGGAACACGAUGGCAGUCAAUGCUUUUUUGUACUACAAAAGGAUUGUUUGAGUUGGAUAGUGCUGCAAAACCACUUCCAGAGUAGUGUCUAAUAGCUGAAAGAGAAGUGCUUUUGCAAUACAGACGCCACCAAAAACUAUAAUCAAGGAGUUUCAUGUGACUAUGAUGUUGAAGUAUGGCAAAGGUGGUCCAUUCAUGGUGUUUUUUAAGUAAUUAUAUCCAUCAAAGUAUCACAAAAGUAUGAUUAAGGUGUUCAAAGGCAUUUUGAAUUUUAGAUGGGAGAUUUACAGUAAAAGUUUGCAGCACAGUUCGUUCUUCGUCAAGAUUUAACACUUUGGAAAGAAGCUGUAAAGCCCGUUCUUUCAGUGUCCUUAGCAACCGGGAACAAUAGGUGCACGGAGCAGCUAAAAACCUCCAUAUCUCCUGGGUCACAUGUUGCGCCUUUAAUACAGAGCGCGGGUUUUAAGAACUCACAAAGACAGUUUUUCGUUAAUGUGACGCAAACACAAAAACCCCGUCGAAUUAGGAGAUUUCUGCAGGAGUCCACCGGGAGUCGAUACAACAAGUCAGGGAGGAUUGUCAGGGCAUUAGUGGGGUAUAAGUACCCCAGCUCACUCCUCCUCUCUUUAUUUUACAGCUCGCUAGCCGGUGGCGGCGCUCGGCCCCUCCCCUCUCAUCUCAUCUCAUCUCGGCGCUCACUUUCUCCGACUCUUUCUGCCAGGAUUAGCUGUAAUAUCUCGCGGGGAGUCGAGGGGCCGGAGGAAUCCCAGCCACAUCACACGGGCUUACGCUUGGAAAACAAGCAUUAAGAGAGGGGGGAUUAAGGCUGAAACCCCCCGCUAAAGAGCGGCGUGUGCACAUGUUUGUGAGCGCAAUUGUGCGAGACGGAAUAAAACAACUCAUGAGGGAACUGAAAGAAUAGAUGGAGGGGGUUUUAGUGCCCAAAAGAGGCCCCAAAAUGCUCGCCUUCUGAGGAUCAGAUGCCGUAGCACCUGUUGGACCAACACGAGCCAUGAAAGUCCAAAUCUCCCUCGUUCUCCCGCCAACUUUUCAUCCCCCUCUCAUUCUCCCUCUGCUCCCCUUCUUGCCUUUCCUUUGUCAUAAUAGCCUGCAGAUGCUUUUCAUUUCACAAGCAAGGGUGUAGGUGGGAGCUUUCAACCCAGAGCGGUGCUUCAGCGAAAUCGGUGCCAACGCUGCUACAAACUCGCACACACAAUACGGCUCGGUGUGAUUCAUCCAGGAGCCUUCUGUUCCUCCUUUUCUGCUACUAGUUCAAGGCUUUUGUAGACUUCGCAAAUAUCGGUUGCACUGAUCACGUUCGGAGAAAGAGAGAAGAAGAAAAAAACAACAAGGACUUCUUUUUAGGAAUAAAGACAGCGAAUUGAUGCCGAAUUAGACGUCUCAGAAUGAGGUGUUAUUGUGUGAGAAAAGGAGCGCUUGACGAGCUGUUUUGCCUUUCAGAUGAUUUUGUUUGUGUGACACUGUCGUUAAUUAUGCGCCAUACAGAACAAUACGGCGCAUAUUGCAGCGACCAAAUGAGUCAGUCUCUGUAAAAACAACCAUUACGAAGGCUUUGUCAAUGCUGCUGAAUAACUUCAGUCAUUGUACAGUGUAAUUACACCUCUCUACCUCUUUCUGCCUACAAAUAAAUGAUUAGCUCUUAAUAGUGAUACAGUGCGGGAUCUUUCAGUGAUCGACCUUGUGGGGGGAACGGGCUGCGAGUUGAAUGGCUUCUUUGUCUCUCCAGUCAAGAAAAUUUAGAGGAGUGGUAAUUGAGGCCUCCUAAGAAGAAACGUUAAAUGACUUUGGGGCGAUAAACGGCUGCAAUCAGGGAGAUUAGAGUCCUUUGUUUCUUGCUCAUUGUGGAUCACGGUGACGCAAAGUCCACAAUAUCAGAUUUCCGGUAAUAUUCCAGUUAUCAUAUGUCAUGGAAAACAAACAAUAAAUCUGUUGAAUUGAGGACGUUUCAGUGCUUUACUUCCUGCACACUUGAACCUAAGCUUUUAUUUUGAAAUUAUGCAUCUUCCAGUAGAUCGUAAGUGACAAAACUGGAGGAGAACAGUUCAUCAGAUCCUCAAUAAAUCUUGUAAUGUCAGUAGUGCUGCAACUAACGACUAUUUUUUUGUCGACUAAUCUAUCAACUAGUCGUCCGAUUAAUCACUAUCUUCUUUAUUUGUAAACACCUAUUUCCGGGUCGUCAGCGUUUCAGGUGCUCAUGCAUCGCCGUGGUGCUGCCAUGGUAGGAAACCUGAGCUUUGCAUAGUUUGCACUCAACGUGUUUUUUUGGUUUGUUCUCCGUAAAAUGUUCCCACACUUUUGAAGUUUUGGGUCGGAGUUUUGGAGCGUCUUCUUCAGUUUUUUCUGCCAUAAUGUGUGCACUCUUCUUCAGUGUUUGCUCGCGGGAUGUAAACAGCGAGCGCAACUGCCCCCAGCACAUCCUGUAGUGCAAUCGUUGCAGCCCUAAAUGUCAGUUUUUUAAGGUCGCUAAUCAUCUCUUGAAGUCUUGCUAAAACUAGCUCACUAGCAGGCUUACAUUAGUUUGAAUUUCCUGAAGUUUAUACAGAUGUUUAGUCUGUUUUUUAUCUCAAAAGUCCAAACUUGCACUAGAGAAAUGUGAGGACUUACUGUCAAGCCAAAUUUCUCGUAUUCAACAAUACGCUGAUAACUGGCUAGUUUACUUCAGAGUUGAUUUCCUGCUUUUUGUUUGCUUGGAUUUGCUGAUUUUUGCUGACCUUAAACUCAUACUUUUGAAGUUAUCGGUCAAACCAAACCCUCCAAUAUCAAUCAAUACGCUGAUGACUUGCAGGUUUAGUAUCGUGUGGAUAGUUUGGGUAUGAUUGUGCAAAAAACACAUGUAUUUUCUUGCGUGUUUGUCCAGAGCCGUAUUUAUCAUUAAUCUCUACAUUUCCUGACACUGAAUUCGCUUGUUAGUUUUGCUUUAUUCCUGGUAUUUGUCGACAGGCGAGGUUGCUUUAAAAGUAUACAAUACUGUGUCGAGCAUUCAAACCAGUCGAGGGAGAAGAGAUAACUGCGGCUUUGUUUGUUCGAAAGCACUCGGCCACCGCUACAGCCAUGAAUGUAAUAAGCGAGGUGUUAAGUCUGACUGCACAGCUGCGAAGAAAAGACGGCAUUGAUAUGAUUUCAUAUGGUGAAGAUAGAAAAGGCUCAGAAACCCAAGAUAUGACUGUUUACUUUACUCAGUCGUACGCAGAAUAAACAACAAAACAGAUUAGUUUUUCGUAUUUUUUAUGUCCAUUCAUAAUCUUAAUUACUCCAUAUAGCUAACAGUAAUUGUAUAAAUCACUGGGAGUUGAAGUGUGAAAACCAAGAGCUGCAUUAACAUCCAUUUAAAAGCUGCAUUAUAAGCUUAAAUGUCAAGUUUCGCACGUUGAAAGUAAAUUUGACCACGCUUAGAGAUGACUACACUUUAAAAAUGUCUUAUCUACAAAGAUAAUCUAAACGCCCUUUACUUUGACUCACUGAUAAUACAUGUGUCAAAACGCUGAAUGCCAGCACUUCCUCCAUUCUUACGUCCACAGAUUAAAAAUCUUCUGGGACGCGCGGUGACAGUUUCAGCACACGACCUGGAAAACCAGAACGAAAGAACAUUAGGAUGACACAAAGAUCAUGCUCCAACAAACCAAGUGAGAUCACAAAGCAGCCCAAGGUCAAAGACGGAAAUGAAGCUAUGUAACCUCUGAAUGCCACUUAGUGAGGAAGACCACCUGGAGCUGCGGAAAACAGAGGGCAAUUUUCACUUAUCCUCCAAGGGUUCACUCCUCUUCCCAGAGCCGAGCUCAGAUGAUUCAACGGAUGAGAGGAAGGACACCUGGAGCAGCAGGCGCUCCAAUCGAUACCCAGCUGGCUUUUGCAGUACCGGGGGGUCAGAGUGUCGAGCGCUUGAUUGGUGGAAAAGCCCGAAAUAACCUGCAGCUUGUCGUGGAAUGCGUGACCCCGUCAUUGACACGGCACUUGGCCAGAUUGGAGCAACACCAACGAAUCCAGACGUGAGAAUAGAGCGAUAUUGGAUUUUUCAGCUCCUCAGCCUUUUGAGUUCUAUCCAUUUUACUCUCUGAUUUUAAGUUGACAUGCUCUGCUCUGGCUGCUAUAUUGUGCCUGUUUAAAUUGCUGUGAAAUUGUUAUCUGUUUUUGUGUCUCCUGCGGUGAGGAAAAUACGUACCUCUAUUACAUCCUUUUGUAAACCUGCUGCGAUGUACAGAAUAAAAGUUGAUGUACUUUCAGGAUGGCAGAAUCCCAGUUUGCUUGUAUGAACUUGAGAAGAGUUUACUGCUGCCUGUUACUUUGACUGGCUCUUCAAACGGAUGUGUUAGUCAAUGACUCAUGUCAGACGCUGGCCUGAUCAAUAUUUGACAUAAACAAUGCCUCCAUGAGAGCAAAAAAUGGCCGCUUGUUACGGAAAAAAUGACUUUUUGCUUCCCUGCCAUUUAAAGGAACUUUUUAACAUCUUUCAGCUUAUGUUUUGUUUGUUUUUUUUGGCACAUUUAGCAUAUUAUCAAUUCUGCUUCAGUCUCAUAGCUUAUGUUAGCAUUGAUAAAAUCAUAAAUGUCCCAUACAAUAACAAUAUAAUCAAGUUUUCCUUGUUUUUACAUCCAAACUUCAUUCUUUGGUGUUUCGGUGUGAGUUCUCCUGGAGGGCUCGCCGAUUUGAGUGUCAGAGUUUUUCCACCUCUACAUUUCUUCAACAGCCGAUCAGCAAACACUCUCAUAAUCACAAGGAUGAUGAAGUUAUAAACUGAGAGGCUGCAGACCCUUGUUUUAAAGCCAUGUCUGGACAAAAAUAGACAUUACUUAGAAAGAAAAUUACCAAAUCUCUUUUGACUAACCAUUCAUGGAUAAAUCAGUCCACAGCACAAAGUGUUGCCCAGGAAAACAUCAAUGAGUCCCUUUCAUUUGAUGUCAAGCCCCUCACCUCCUUUCAGCAGAUAAACAAGCUCCUGAAUGCAGCAGCUCCAUUCAGGACCAGCGGCUUUUGUGCGAAGCCACUGAAACAUAAAAUUGCUAAAUAGCUCUCCCUCAACAAAGAAGUCCUACCUGGCUGCUUAUGAACUAGUCGUGAAGCAGCCGUCACUUAACAACCACCGCCCUCUAUCCAUCCUAGCGUCCUUAACACCUUAAAUAAAUCCCCUGUCCAUCUCAGAUGACAAGAUAAAUACCAUCUACCUUCUAACCAGACAGGGAAACCUGUCCACCCUGGAGGGGAGUAAGCGUUCGCUUCCCUAAAGGAGAGAUAAGGAUAAGUGAUGGUUUGUGAACCAACAAGCUCUUCAAGAUAAACUGAAGCUUUUGACUUUGCGGAGGGAAUUUUUGUCCCCAGAUGAAGGGCAGUUAUCCUUACACGCGUUCAUGAUAGCUACAGAUAAAGCUUUGUUAAGCUGACUUUGCAGGGGGAUUAUUUUUGCAUUUAUCUGCAUGUAAUUAUUAUUUUUUUAAUUUGGGAGGACAAACACAAACUCCCAGUGCUGGAAUUUGUCCAAAACAGUCGGGGGGGAUAAAGAGGAAAAUCAUGUGGAGAUUAAGAGAAAAGGUGAUGAUAUUUGCAGUGAUCUGCAGCAUCUGUAAAUAGAGGCGAAGGAUAGACGUGGCUUUGUCAUUGGUAUUCCAAAUAAAUACCCCUUCCUCUGGAGGUUAUUACUCUUUUCUUAAACAUAAAUAAAACUUGUAUUUUCUUGUUGCACUGGGGUAUUCUUGGGUUGCACUGCACAUUACGUAUUAUUGAUGCACUGCAGGAAAAAACUCCACAAGUGUGGACUUUUACCUCCACUCACAGUGACGGAUUUGCAAGGCCACUCAUCUUUUUCCUCUUUUCGUCUCCCUGCAGUCCAUUUUCGCACAGUAUCUUCCAAAAUCCAAAGUCCCAAACAGAUUUUUUAAACCCGUUUUCCUCCACACGGCCGCAUCGAAAAACCACCACAUAAAUAUAUUUCCUCAAGGAUGUGUCUUUGUGCUUUACCCGGAGAAUAUCAGGAAUGAUUAAAAAACCUUUCAAGGGCUUUAUAUUUUUUGGCUGACUUCCUUUGCCUCUCUCCUGGUGGUUAUUUAAGCUUCCAGAUGUGAGAUAUGGGUAGUUAGAAAUCCAACUCAUACGCCCCGAUGAGAGCAAAGUGUCAUUUCCAAUCAGGAGCGAAUAGUCGCGCAACACCUGUUAAAAAUCUCCCCAAACUCUAAUAAAGCGCGAUUAAGUGUGGCAGAUAUUGGAGGAGUGACGCAACACACUAACAGCAGAUGUGAAAAGGAUGUCAGGACGAGUCAUGCGGGGAUGCUCUGUGUUAGCGCCGGAGAUGAUUGGGUGAACGUCUGGUCACCUGUGAACGUUUCAUGGUCAAGGUGCGGUUUUCAUUAGCCGGUAAAGCAGAUGUGACGGUCACCUGCAGGAGACGGUGGAGGCGGCAGAUUGUGGAAUCAAGAUGUGAAGCAACUGAGGUGUGUUCCUCGUUAGUCAUGUGACUUCUGUGCACAUGGAGUUUGGACUUGUUUGUGGUUCUUGAAGACGCGAAACGUUCCUGUUGCAGAUAUCGCUUCAGUUUUUGCCCCAUCUGUCAGGAAGAAAACAGAAGGAAUGCAAAAAAAUAAUCCCCUAGAUUUCUAUUUUGAGCGUCGGUUUUGGUGAAUUUUUGCAAAAACACUAUUUGCAUGCGUCACAGACAUGUUGAAACCUGAAUGCUGAGCGAGUUCAUUUAGAAAAUAAGUUUUCAGUCUUGACUUUGACCUUGGGUCGGGGGCGUGUUGGUGCAGCGAGAGGUUGGGUGCAGAGGGACCCGUUUGGUUUGGCAGGUGUGGGCAGGGUGCCAGGAUGGGGCUUCUUUGAUAUUCAGCACUCGGUGAGGGAAACGGAGAAAGAGGAGGUGGGUGAGGGGAGAAAAUUGGAAGAAAAAAAAAAGGAACAAGAUGGAAAAGGAAAUGGAGAGAGCAGGAUACAGAAGACUGAGG